rnacentral:lncRNA from 13 species
CAAAGUGCAAAAUGAGAUGACAUUCAAGAAUAAACUGUGGCAAAACAGCUUCAAAUCAGCCAAGAAGACAAAAUACUGAGGGAAAAUUGAAUAAAGUUAAAUACCCAGAGUAAUGCCCCCUAAAGCACAUCCCAAAACAAGGAUUUGAGUGCAUGUAGCUCACCUGGGAGUUCAGCCCAGAAGCCACUGGUAGAGGAGCAGGGAAGUGAGAUGAGAAAGGAAGCCAGUAAAGGCUCUAUACGCAAUAGCCAAGACCUGCAAUCAACCUAGUGUCCACAACAGAUGAGCGGAUAAAGAAAAUGUGAUCUAUAUACACAAUGGAAUAUUAAUCAGCCACAUGAAGAAUGAAAUCCUGUCAUUUGUGGCACCAUGGAGGAAACUGGAGGACAUUACCUUAAGUGAACAGACCUUCAGUUCUUCCUGAGAUCAAUAAAGCUUAAAAGAAAAGAAAAAGCCA